GACAGAGGGUGCAAACGUUGUUCGGAAUUACUGGGCGUAAAGCGCGUGUAGGCGGCCCUGCAAGUCGGAUGUGAAAUCCCACGGCUCAACCGUGGAAGUGCAUUCGAAACUGCAGGGCUAGAGUCCUGGAGAGGAAGGUGGAAUGCUUGGUGUAGAGGUGAAAUUCGUAGAUAUCAAGCGGAACACCGGUGGCGAAGGCGGCCUUCUGGGACAGUGA
rnacentral:rRNA from 1 species